AAAAAAAACGCAACAUUAACAGCAUUUGCAUACUCGUGAUCAGAAUUGGGGAAAAAAACAGAUGAUGAUCUUGAUCAACUCAUCAAAAUGGGGUGAUGAAACCCUAGACAAAAUUUCACAUAAUUUACUGAUGAGAUAAAUGAUUGAGCACGUGUUAGGCUGUAACAUAUCGCAUUCCUGUACAAUACACUAAUCCAUUAUAUCGCCAUAAAUCUUUAUGCUAUAUUACUACAAAAUCCCUUUCAGAGCAGAUGGUGAACAGAUCAUAGGUCUUUCACCCUGAUUCUUCAAAACGUAGAGCUGGCAGAGAGCUAAACCUGCGACUCUCCAGGAAAAACUGCAGUUUCCGACAACUCCUUGGCUCCUGGCAUGAUUGUAAGAAACCUGAUAUAGAGCCAUGGCCUCCUCAAAGAUUUCCUCAUCUCUUCGUUUGCUCAAGUUAAAUUCCGCAGCUUCAUAUAAGAACUAUAAGAGAUGAUGACAAGUCAGCGAAGCUGUGGAAGCGUGUCUGCCAGACAUCUAGCACUCAGGUCAAGCGUGUCUGCCAGACCCUGAGCACUCGAGCUAGACCCGCGUACUUGGGUCUGUAGACCCGUGUGUCUGGGUGUGACAUCACACGUGGAUAUUGUUGUUGUUAAAUUUGAAAAAAAUAUAUUAUUAAUGAAAAGAAACCAUCAACUUA
rnacentral:lncRNA from 1 species